UUGAGGUAAGGAAUACCCUCAGGGCGAGGUUAGACUAAGAAGGAAAUGUCAAAGGUCGAAGUCAGACAUAAAGGCCAGAGACCUUGGGUUUAGGCAUCAAGUCUCCUAAAUCCUCUCCCUCCCUGCACUAUCUGGUUGGGGUUAGGCAUCACAGGGCCGAGGCCUCUGUGUCUAAGCAUGUAGUACCCUGUCAUGGCCACAAGGUGGCACUGCCCUCAAGCUUCAGUUAAUUAUUCUUCACAUUCAGGCCAAAUGGCUCUUUUGUAUUCAACCAGUAUAUCCAUUUUCUUUCAGCUUUUUUCCUCUCCACUCUGCUCCAUGUACAGUUUCCCUGCAGGCCGGCCACCCUGACGGAUGCCAGACCAUGUGACAGGAAGUGUCGGACCAGGGGAGUACUGGUGUCCCUCUUGUUCCUAAUGUUGCAGCGCCUCAGGAAUGGUCGUGAAUACCCUCUCUCCCUCAGCGCCUUGAAGAGGAGCCUCACGGCCUCCAGGAAGUCAUCCUGCCGGGUGCAGAUCCGGCUGAACCUUAACAGCUGAGAUUUGACAAUGCCCUUAAAGGGCGUCCACAUCCAUGGAGAAGAAAAAGGAAUUUGCAGGAAUCUGGAAGGUUUUGACCAUUUCAAUAAAGUGAUAAGUGUCUUUCACAUAAGCUGGAUGUCUGACGGACAGGGGAUUCAAGUGGA